AAAGAAAAAAUCCCCACUAAGAAUCUGUACCUCAAUUUAAGGUCCUCAGAUACAUGGGUAGCAGAAUACAGGAAAUGGAUGGACAAAGUUGGACAUGGGAUGCCCUAUCAUUUUGGGCACAACACAAUCUCUCUGCCUGAACUGCCUGCUGUUAUUGAACAUGCACCAGCCGGGCUUGUUGCUGGAGUUUCAGCUUCUUCACCAGCCAAGGGUGGGAUUGGACAAAUGCAUGCAUCCAAUUUGGGCAACAGGUAUUUCCGGCAUGUAAUCCAUUGCAGGGAAUGCAGUAGUGUUGUCAAAG
rnacentral:misc_RNA from 1 species